CGCUGGCGGCGUGCCUAAUACAUGCAAGUCGAGCGAAUCUUCGAGGUGCUUGCACCUCUUGAUUAGCGGCGGACGGGUGAGUAACACGUGGGCAACCUGCCUGUAAGACUGGGAUAACACCGGGAAACCGGUGCUAAUACCGGAUAAUCCUUUCCCUCUCAUGAGGGAAAGCUGAAAGUCGGUUUACGCUGACACUUACAGAUGGGCCCGCGGCGCAUUAGCUAGUUGGUGAGGUAACGGCUCACCAAGGCGACGAUGCGUAGCCGACCUGAGAGGGUGAUCGGCCACACUGGGACUGAGACACGGCCCAGACUCCUACGGGAGGCAGCAGUAGGGAAUCUUCCGCAAUGGACGAAAGUCUGACGGAGCAAACCGCCGCGUGAGCGAUGAAGGCCUUCGGGUCGUAAAGCUCUGUUGUUAGGGAAGAACAAGUACCGGAGUAACUGCCGGUACCUUGACGGUACCUAACCAGAAAGCCACGGCUAACUACGUGCCAGCCGCCGC
rnacentral:rRNA from 1 species